UCCCUUACACACCACAAAAUGACUUUUCUCCAGCAGUCCUGCUUGGCUGAACUGUGGUGUGCGGAAGCUGAAUUUGGGAUGGAGGCUGCGUUCCGAUGGCUGCUCUGUGCGAUGGGAUCGGGCGGCAGGAGCUGCGUGAGGACCUCCCCUGGCACAAGCUCUCUUGCUCCCUUGGCUGGGAUGAGGUGCUGUGGCCCCAGGCAUGGGGCACACUGAGACGAACUGAGCAGCUUUUUGAAAAUGUCUUGAGAUCCUUGGCAAUGGAGAGAGAUUGCAGUGCAAGCACUUUUCUGGAUUACUCUGUCACCGAUGUCAAAUCAAAGCAUCAAGGAUAUAAAUCUUCAGUAAACAUCUGGCCUCACUUCAGCCAGGUUAUGCAAUGCCUCAAGUACAUUCUGCAGCAGAUUAUGCUGUGUUCUCCAUUUGUGCAAUGCAAGCUAAUGUGAAUAUCAAGUCACAUCAGUGGUCUGGACAAGUAGUCAAGAGAUAAAGACGGCAACCCAAACUGGGAAGUUCGGCCUUUCAGCUCCAACUUAAAGGUCAUCAUGUUCGAUCAAGAUAUCGUCUCGUGACAGCUUUGUUGGUAUUCUCAGCAGUGCUUGGGAACAGUGGCUGAUCUUUCAUCACAAACUGUAAAGGCGGUGGUGCGUGCACAUAAUCCAGAAAUAAUGGAUAUUCCUUUUGAAUUUUAAUUUAGAACUAAUUAGCUGUUUUGUUUUGUUUUUUCAUGUUUGUAUUUAGAAUGCAAGGAUUGGCUUUGGCCUUUGGAAUAGAUUUUGUCACUGAGUUUCAGGAAGUGAAAGACCUCUCUGAACCUCAGAAAAAGAGGGCUCAUGAGCACAACCACUGCAAAAAAUGAAAUUGUGAUUGUAAAAUUCAGUGGCAUAGAGAAUGACAAUAGGCUGGAAUAUCUCCAGAAUGCUAAAAAGCCCUCUGACAGUUGUGGAGAUGAGAAGGCGAUGAGAUUCAUCCCACAGAAAUCAAAUAUAAAAAUACUGAAACGUUAGGGAUGUGGAAACAAAUCACCCUGAGAGGGAAGGAAGGCAGCAUUCGUUGUUCUGGGUGGCUGUUCCACUGGCUGACCCAUGGCAUGCACUUUGCAGUACUUCAGAAAGACACUGGCAUGGGGUCAUCUGUUGAAAUAUUAACAGAAUUUGUCUGCAGUGUUUCCAGUAGUGAAACUUGGCUUUUUUUCGUUCCUUUCAUUCACAUGUGGCAGCAUUAUCUCUGCUUAUAGCCAGUUCUUUCCUUCCUGUAGCAACAGCGCUGUGUCUGCAGGAAGAAGCAGGGCUGGGAAGGUGGAGACAACGGUGUCCAUGGGCGUACUGCAUUUCUCUUAGCUUCAAAGAGGCAAAGUGGGGAGUAAAUCCUUCACAGCACUGAAACAGUUAUCAAAGUAAUCCUGUGGAGAGUCUGCCAUCAUUACAGAUCCCCUUUGGUCCUAACCUUUGAAGAAUAGAUGGAGGUGCUGAGUAGAGACUGAAAAUCUUGAUUCAGUUCCCAGUGCCACCAAAGCACUGGGAAUUGCUUUGCACAGAGGAAUAAUCCCUCUGUGAUUUAUGGGGCAAAAAACCUCAGCCUCUCUCGAUUCAGUUCCCCAUGCACAACCACACCGAACUCUUUGGUGUAGGAGUGACCUCCUGAGAUGUUAUUUGUUUAUCUCACUGCCCCUUGAUUGAGUCCCUAGAUGACAGCAGUGUGAAAUGAGCUGACCGGCUCCUUUCUCAGGCAGCUUGCUCCCAAACAGCACAGACACUGUGCUGAGUGUCCUUGCUCUCAAGUCAUUUUGAACAUUUUACUUUUUAUCAAAGGAUGUUUUUUCUUUGAGAUGAAGCCAUCUGCUCAAUAUUUAAUAGUAUUUUAUAAUCCCCUGUUUUCUCCCUAGAAAAAGCCCUUAAUAUGAGUCAUAAUACAAACAUAACUUGUAAAUGAAAUGUAGGCCUGGAUCAAUACCCUUCUCCUUGCUGCAGGGUAGCAUAAUCACUGAAAGAUGUUCUCCUAAUUGUUAUGAGGACAGGGAAUUGUUUCAUUUAUGUAAGUGAAAUGUGUUGUUAAGUUGUCUGAUGAUGGGAGUUGACUCUGAGGUUUCUGUACUUGUGGCAAAAUGUCAAUAUUCCUAAAGCAUCUUGCAGUCAGCAGUUUCAGAGGACAGGUUAUUUGCAAAAUAGCCUCCCCAUUAUAAUCCAGUGACACACAGAUCUGCUCCCUAGGUUCCAGCACUGGCCUUUGCAAAUCCAAAGUUAAAUGGAUUCUGCUCCAAGAGCUGAAUUGUCACUGAAACUGCUGUGCUUCAGACAGAUUUGCUGUUACUGAGAAAAUAGGGCUCCUACAUCUUUCUACUGAAUAAUUUCUCAGGGACAUGUCUUCAGUGCGUGGUAAUAUGGGAAUAUUGCAGUGCUGUAACUUUUGGAUAAGCUAAUAGACAUGCAAUCUUAGUUAGUGGAAACCUAGAUGCUCACAGACUUACUUGGGCAGAACAGAUCCCCCCCUUCCCAGCCCUCAUUUAAGGGCUGGCAGUGAAGGCAAGAGGAUCUCACUGGAAAACUAUAAAAACAGCCCCCAAAAUUCAAUAGGAGUGUAUGCAGGUAUUGUUUAGUACGUGUAAAUGUAUUCAAACUUCAUUAGCUAAUACCAGUGCCUUCAGCAAAGUUACUUCUUGAUUUCUACUACAGAAAAACUUAAGCUCUGUUUUGGUGGGCACUAGGAUUUUUCUCUGUGUAAUAAAUGAAAAUUACAUUUAAGCAUACACUUGAGGUCUUAUCCCACCAUCACAAAGUCCUGCAUGUUCAAGGGAUGCUAUUCACAAUCACUGAAUUCUCCAUUCAUACUUGCAGUGAGCCCCUCGGUACGUACAGAGCCCCACUUGUCCUCUUUGUGAACUGUUGGUCAAUUUUUUGCCUUGGAUCAUUUCUGAUAGGCAAGAAAACCAAGUAGGUAUGUUCCAUAGGAAAACCACAUUUGCUUAGACUGUGCUUCCCAGUUCCCAUUUUCCCCAGCACAGUGGAGAUCGUGUGUUCUUCUCAUGCUCUCACCAGCUUACUUUUGAUCUUCCAUAAUUGCUUUUUCAGGGGCAGUGACAAGCACUUACCUCAGCAGGUGAAGAUUACCCUUUCCUCUGUUGUUUCCCUUACACUCAACACAGGAGCUGCUAACCUGAGUUGCUUCCCUAUAGCAUCACCAUUAUACUGCACAACAAAGAUGUCAUGUUAAAACGUUAUCACAAGAACCAUCCUUGCCAUAUUCGGCCUGGUCUCUUAUAGCAAAGAGGCUUUUCAACACGUAUCUGCAAAUCGUCUCCAGCAGGACCUUUCCCUGACCUGCGACAAGCAAGUGUGCAUCUUUCCUAUUGCAUACUGAGACUUGCAGUUGCCUGGGGUGCAAUGCUUUGGGGUCACCUGGGCUUAUCAAGGUCACUCCCCUGGCAUUUUGCUUUCUGAUAAGCAAGGUCACAGCCUUGGACAGCAGCCCCGCAAUUUGUACUUGUGCUGCGUGGACUCACACCUGUGUGCGUACUCAGCUCUCACCCAGAUAAAAUAGCCUGUGAUGAAUUCCACUGUAAGAGCAGUAAAAAGAAGUGGUGUGAAAAGGGUUUGGAGGAGCAGAGGAAGUACAUCUAGAGAGCACUUGAAACAGCCUGUUAAGAAAUUGCAGUGUAAUGCACAGCUCCUUGUCCUCAUCCACAAAGAGAACCCUGCAGGCAAAAGGCACCUAAGCAGGUCAGGUGCCAAAGGCUGCUCUGCUCUCUGUAUUCAAUUAGCCAGAUGCAGCAAAAUAAUGGACUCUAUUCAUUGAGUGCAAGUCUCUCUUAUCGCUUGUUUGACUUGAUGUGAUAGAAUCACCAUAGAUAAAGGUGCAAAUAGUACCUCAUUGUACCAAAACCUCAAAAUAAUAUGCUACUAAUGAAGGCAAUGUUAGUCAUAUAAACAUUCUAUAAACCCACUGAAGCAGUGAUGGAGAACCUGGUGGGAAGGCAGAGCCAGCCCAGGGGAGCUCAGGUGCAUGCAAUGCAAUGCAAUGCACUGAGUGAUGGAAGGGUGGAACCAGGAUCCCUCCCUUCCCAGCCCUCAUUUAAGGGCUGGCAGUGAAGGCAAGAGGAUGUCACUGGAAAUCCCUGUGUACCUGAAGCUUUCUGAAGGUAAGCAGCUUCUUUCCUUUAUUUCUGUGCCCACAGCUGUUGCAUUGUUGCAUUUAAGCAAACCUUCACUUGCUGCAGUCUAGGACCUUGCUGGCCUGCUGUCAUUGCUGUGCUUCCCAUUGUGUAGAUUUUACUUAUUCACUAGGUCACACUCACACUUGUUUGAACUGUCUCUUACUUGGAACUAGAUGAUCUUUAAGGUCCCUUCCCACUGAAGCUGUUUCAUGAUUCUGUUUCCUGGGAUUUAGUUUCUCUGCCAUAACCUCAGAGACAAGCUGUAUAGGUAUAGUCCUGCACUAGUUCUCAUUCAGAAAAAGCAGAACAAUUCAGGAUUUUUGCAGCCCAGUAAGUUGAAGCAGUGGUAGUUCUCACCACCCAGCACUUGCCUGACUUGCAUAAAUGUAAACGGAGGAAUUUCACCAACUACUGCAUAGCAAAUGUUAUUGUGAUUUUUUUUUUUUCUUCCAAAAUACUUGUACAAGAGAAUCAAAAAUAUUUUGUAGGGAAAAGUAGGGAAGCUUAGGAUGCAGCCUGAACAAGAAGUUGGUACCUUGCUCUGUCUGAGACCUGACCCAAGGAAGCUGUUGUAGGUAAAGGUGCUUUAUCGUGUUACUUGAUGUUUUUGUUAGGAAUGAGGAUUUUCAUGUUACUUUCAGAUAGAGAACUACAUCAACUAUGUCUGGCUGCCAACAUUUUUGCCUCUUAUGGAAGUGAUCAAGUUUUGUCUAACCUGUAGGGGUGGAAAGAAACAACAUUAUUUAACACCUCAACAUAUCAAUUUCCUGUUUAGUUUGAUGGGCUGACUAUGAUUUACAGGGUUUCAUUAUGAGACUCAAUUAAAUAUAGAAUUUGUAAUAUUCAUGCAAUUUCUAUGCCAAAUAUACACAGUGCUGAUACAGCAGGGAUCUCAAAAUAUCAACCACCUGCUUGGGAGGAACAGAAUUACGAAUGCAUCUCCUUAAACAAUAAUUCAUCAUACUCAAAGUCUAAAGUUAAGCUACUCCAGAGCCAACACAGCUGCUUUAUCUUAUCAAAGGGGUACUGCUGACUUACAGUGCCUGUUAUCAUUCUUGUAACUCUUGACUAAGAAUGCAGUCAAGGAUUUGGAGGCCUGGGAAGCAGCGCUGAGUGUGGCAUGAAGGAUGGAAACCCAGAAUUGUGAACUGCAUGUCCACACUGCUCAUGCAAUGCACCAGGAAACCAAAUCAGUCAGGUUAGGGAACUUUAGGGAAAACCUUUGAGUACCUCACUGAGAGCUGCAGGGAAAUAACCUGUCCCUCUCGUCAAGGAUCUUCUUCCUCAAACCCCUCCACUAAAUAAAGAAGGUUAUAGGAGCGAGACUUCCCUAAGUGAGCUCAGAUGCAGUACCAGCUCACAGGUCACAAUGCACCUUUUUCCCUUGGGAGGGAUGCUCUACUCAGAAGAAUGAAGCUAACUUUAAUCCUCAUGACUUGGUUAUAAGAGGACUUUGAUCUGACAAGAUGUAGAUUUGCAAUUGUUAUUUUUCCAGACAGACUACAGGCUACAGACAUGCUGGAUGCUUAGAGGACCUCCUUACAGUGUGGGGAUAUAUGUUCAUAGCAAAAAUGAGAUUUUUGAAUGUGAGUGGGGUUUGGAGGCUGCAGUAGCACUACAAUAUCAUAGUGGCUUUAAGCCCAUUUUCGCUGCAAGGAGGCAGAAUCCUGCUGUGCUUUCAGACAGGUGUUAGUCUAAUUGGUCCUUUAGAACUUAUAUUUUACAUCUUCCCUUAGCGGCCAGGUUCACUGAUUAAGUAUUCUUCAUUAGGAAGCUUUUCCAGUCUCUAAUUUAAACCUUUACUUCGUGUGGAGCCAGGCACUUUCCUUCCCCCUUUGGUGACCAGCACAGUAUUUCAAAAGUACCUUGUCCGCAAGCGUUUUGAGAGUUAGGCCUCUGCUACCACAUCAUUUUGAAGCUCCACGCAUUCUCCACUUCCUUAUUCCUUAUAAAAAUGAAAAAUGUUUUCCUUCUUUAUAAUGCCUGCUGCUCUCCUGGAGUUAGGGAUGCCUCAGUCCUUCCUGUCCUUUUCUCACUGACUCAGAUCAUUUCAGAUGGCUCUGUGAAGUGGCCGUUGGAAGCUCUCAGUCAGCAGUGGGGCUGUCGUGGUGUUAAUGAAUCUUGCUAAACAAUUUAGACAUCCUGCGAUAAAAACCACCAGAGGAAUUUCCACCAGCCAGAGUACGAGCAAUUCUAACACUGCAAAUACAAGCUGGUGAGAAAUAUCAAUAUAAUCAGUAGUAUCCUUGCUUUAAGACAUCAGCUAUUUAUCUCUGGCAGGUUUGCCUUAUUGCUUUUUCCAAGACUGUCUGCUGGGAACACAUUCCUGACCCAGAGCUCUUCCAGCCAUGGGGUGGAUGUGUUGGUGCAGCUCAGAAGGACGUGGGUGCCUCUGCCAGCUCACAUCUAGACACCACAUAGAGCCAAAUAGCUCAGGAGUGUUUGUAUUACAGAAAACACACACUUCUGAGAAGGCUGUGACCGCCCUCUUAUCAUGAGGAAAUAAACCUUAGGGCUUUAACAAAUCAGGGCAAGGAAGAGUGUUUUCAUCUGAACUAAUGUUGCCUGAAGCAUAAAAAUAAACGUAGGGCUGUUUUCAGACAUAACAGGCUCAGGAUAGUGUAAAAACACAGCAAGAAGACUUAAGAAUUUGAGAUUACAAGCUGGUUUGCUUAUCUCAUCCAAAAACAUCUUAUAAUCAGCAUUUUCAUCUCAUCAACCAUCUCUUCUUACCUUUUGUUCCCAAACAGUGCUGCAGGCUUGGUUCUGGGAUGGCUCUUCAGCAUCAGCAAUGUCUGCCUUCCCCAUUUGACAGAAGCUCUAUUUCAGUGAUGCAGAAAAUUAAUAGGGGCACUAUAUUUCCUUUGUAUCCAGACCUAAAUACUGUUUCUAUGGCUGCAAACAUAGUAAUUCUUGAAUGAAUGGAACAAAGUCAGACUCCUUCCGUGUGAUUUCUGAAGCUGAUAGCAAAAUCAACCAUGAAGGAGCAUAGACAGAAAAGCUGCUUCAUUCUAACCUUAUUGGGAAAAACUUCUUUGCACCAAUUAGAGAGAUUACAGUGCUCAGAGUGAUGCAGAGAACUAAAUAACCAGGCAGAUACACUAACCGAAUGUCACUUAAUCAGACAAGAGGAAGCAGUACCCAACAGUGAGCGGAAAACGUUCCGUGGGACGAGCAUCACCUCACAUAUUAAUUUCCUAUUUCUGUAUUCACAUCUUCUGUGGCCUCUCCAGCCUCUGCCCAUGAGCAGCUCUGGCAUGCACGAGUCCCUCCUGUGCUGGGUGGAAGGAGCUCUCGGUGCGUGGCCAUGUGUGCCCAGGAUGCUGCAGUCGUGCAUGGGCUCAGCACACUGCAGCACAGUAGUGAAAUAGUCACACGUCAGGAGGAAGAAUGUGGGUUCUUGCUUUCAGCUUCGCUCAUUGCAAAUCUCUGCAGGGCAUAUCAUGGGAAAACUGACGCGUCACUGAAGGCGCAGAAAGAAAGAAUGCCAGAAAAGAGGUGAAAAACAGAAAAGCCUGAGCUGAUGCUCACUCUGCUCAGGUGUAAGGCUUUGGAAUAAUAGCUGUGCUAAGGUUUAUAGAAGUCAUUAAAAACCCUUUGUGAUACUUGAACUGUGCUACUGAAAAAUAGCUGUUUCCACCCAGAGCUAAUAAAUGGAUGUUUGAAGCGCAAGCUGAGCUAAUGUGAAUUCAUGCUCAACUGUGCGUGUCAUGUUUGGAUGUAAACACCCUUUUCACAUUGUACCAUACCACCCCAGUGCUGCUGUGCUUUUCAUGUAUCUCUGUGGUACUUAUAUCUCAGCUAUCAUUUGAUAGCUUAAAAUGCCUGUACUAAAAUCCACUGCCUUUCAAUUGGGCUGAAGAUGUCAAAGUAUAUCUACGCAUAUGUAGUCCAGUUAAAGUUUUAUGAUUGAACCAAGUUGCUCUGAAAUUGCAGCUUUUUUUCCCCCCCCAAAAAAAAACCUAAAAUGUUCUUUUCCUGCCUUGUAUUGUAGGUAACAUUUGAAGAAAGAAAGAAGGAAAAAAUGCCAGACCCAAGCCUUGCUCACCUGGGGAUCCUGCGUGGGAUGUAAUCCAGCCCUGCUUCAGGACACAACCUUCUGCAUUGCAACCAGCACCAGCACUGAAGAGCAACUCGAGCAGCCUCAGAGGAGAUGACACACAUUGGGCUUCCAAGUCUACAUCCAUGCAGACGUGUUGCCAUCGUUGCCGGGCAGCUAGCAGGGACAGGACGUGGUGUGGCUGACAGCCUUGGGAUGAGGAUAUUCAAUUCUGAGUGACCUGUGAUCUGCUGGGACGUUAUGAGAUGUUGGUCAUGACGUGCUAUCAUUGAAACCUCUGCAAGAAGCUGAUGCUUCAGGAAUCCUAAGGUACUCCCUGUCAUUUAUAGCUCCUAUUCCACUUGCUGGUGAAGCUUUUUCACUGUCAUUUAAUGUAUUGAGUACAUGGAUAGCAGUAGAACAGUACUGUUCCCUCCUCAUUAGUCUCUCAAGGCGAAACAUAAUUUGGUCCUACUUCAUAUUAAUUUAAUCUUAACAAAAUCAAGAUAGGUUCAGAAGUUCCACCUUUACUGAGGUUCUCAGCUCUGUUAUGCCUGUGUGCAUACAAACCCCAUGAGAAAAACAGUUCAGGCUUUUCCACAGCAAUGAUUAAAGAAAAAUCACAAAUGCAAUGGAAUUCAAAGCAACAGGCAAAGGUCCAGCCUUCGCUGGGUCAGUGUGCACAAAAUGGAAGGGCUCGUUACUAUAGAUGGGAGAGGAGCAGAGCUAUGCCACAGAUGGGUUUGUAUUUGAUAUCAUCUACUGACAGUGACGGGUCACAGCCUCACCACAGCUGAAGUCUGUUGAGGGCCACCUCAGAGCCUCCCAGCAGCAGUUCAAAUACUGCAUGGUACUUAUUUGCAUGCAAUUUGAAUCUACCCUAAUAGCGUGCAUUGCUGACAGAUAGAAGGAAAGGAUUCACUGCCCGCACUGAGCCAGCACCGACAAGCUGGGAGGUGAAACCUCAAGAGCUCCACUGAAGACAGCUAAAGCCCCCAUUGCUGCACACUGUGGUUCAUGCACAGUCACAGAGAAAUAAAUCUUGGUUAAAUUUUUGAUGAGCUUUCAGCUGCUGUAAAUAAUUAACUAGGGUCUCUCUCGUUUGAACACGGGUGCAACUUUUCAUGUUUCGAAUGCUUCCUGCCUCGAUCCCCAGGGGAUCGCUCAACUUAUUCAGGUCACUUCUUUUAUUUAUUUAUUUGCAGCAUCACCAGUCGAAACAAAUUUUGAACUUGCAAGCUGGGAAGGGAGAAAGCAGUUUCCUUUUGAUCUUACUCCAGGCAGGGAGCAAGGAUGCUGGACCAUUGUAAUUCAAAAGAGGAAAGACACAGGCAGUCCUAUUGUCAGAGCCUUCAUUCAAGUCCACUGAAGGAUGGGAAGCACGACCAAAGACAAAAGGAUGUGAGAUAUUUCUGAAGAGCCCUGAAGUGAUGUGUGCCACACACGUGAAUUGCUCCACACACCCAACCCAGCACCACGUGCCACCUGACUGCCUCAUGCUCACAGAAGACAGAAAUCAGAAGAGCUUUUUCCAACCCAAACCUCUCUCUCUGGGUUUUCUCUCCUGACCUCUGAGUGUGAAGGCAUAUCACUCUCAAAAGGCAUUCUGAAACUUCCAGCCAUCCCUUGUAUCACACAUCUUUUGCUUUCUGCUUUUAUGACCAGCUCAUAUGACCCAUGGGACCCCGUGCUUCUGGGUGAAAUCAGCCACCCCAUUGGAAAGCCAUCGUGCAGAGGGAAUUACUUCUCUGCCAUCACUAUUCACCCCAUAUCCUGCUUUCUGUUGGAAGAAACGUUGGCCCGGUUGUAUGGCUUCUAAUUAAGAACACUUCAUUAUAUCUCAGGGACUGGGAAACCUCAUCUGUAUCUAUUUAUGUAGCACACCUAUGGCUGCAGGAAAAAACCAUCUUUUUUCGAGUCAUGAGUUUUGUUCCAUGACAUGGCAGUUAGUUAUCUGCAGCAACAUCAGGUAACAGCACCACCUUCUGCCAACAUGAUACCAACUCCUUAGAAAACCAACAGAUUAAUUUUCUCUCUGUGAUUUCCAUGGCUUUCUCAAACAUUUCUGAUGCAGAAGAACACCACCCUAAGGGCUGUUUUGAAACACCCCAAGCUGCCUUGAACAGUGAUGAAAUGACCAACAUGUAACCAACUUUAGAGGAGCACUGAAUGCCCUGAGCUGGGCAACACAACUCUCGCUCCUGGGAGGACAGCUGAGCACACCCAUCUGAGUCUUCAUGGAAAAAUGCCUUCUCCUCCUCUCUCUUUUACAUAGGUCCCCAGAGCUGCACACAAGGCUACAUCCUAGAUCUUUAGAUGACAUAAAGCUGCCUGAAAAUAAUCAUCUUUCUUACUUUUUUCCUCUAGGUUCUCUUUGUCCUUAGCAGACAACCCGGGGCUGCCCUGCCUUCAGCUUCAGACAGACAAAUUUUAGGCAGUUGGCUUUCAGAGAGAUGAACAUUACACAAUAUAAGUAUUCACUUUUAAGAGCACAACUGUGUCUUUACCUCCACAAACGCCCUAUUUUCCUGACAAAUUCUUCCUUCCAUGUGGGACCGAGGUGCACACAGAUCCAAGGAACCCAGGAGGAAUGGUGUCAGUGGACACAUAGGUGAAGAAUAAGGUGCUGAUGAGCCAAUCAAUAAACCAGUAAUUAGCUCUGUUUGGGUUUUGGUGUUUUGCUGCGUUAUUUUUCUGCUGGUUUUGAAAAAAGUUUGCUUAUCUUAGUUUUAUAACCACUUAAAUGAAUCCCAGCUCUGUUCAAAUCAAUGAAAGCUUUUGUGAGACAGCUGUAAUUUUAUGUGCAUGUGUUUCAGUAAAUUAGAGGGUUUAGCCUUAAGGAUUCACUUUAGUGUAAUCUACUAAAAAGAUAAGUAGAGCCAGAUGCAGUGUCUUACAACCACUGGACAGUUGCAACUGGAGCGACAGCACUGACAGCAACUUUAUGGCUUUCCUCAUAGGGAGCAGAUUUCCUGACUCAAAAAAAGCAGUAUUUUACAUAAAUAAUUGUAAAUAUUUUGUAUUUACAAUGCAAAGAAAGAAGGGUGCAAGUAGUAGGAAGAAAAAAAAAUUAGCCCAGGCAACUGAUGAUGGCUUUCUCGCAUUCUGUUUGUGCACAACUGUGGAAAAAGACAAUCUGUAGCUUAAACCAUUUAACUAAAUUAAAUUCUAGUUAGCAUCUGGGAUCCCGUCAAUAAGAGUCUAUAUUUCUGAGGAGCCACAGACUGGUGGCAGUAAUAGACACAUAAAGAAUUUAAUAGGUAAAUAAAUUUGUUGCUGCAUUUCUCUCGCUAGCAGAAUGCAGCCCAGCAGAGUAAUUAGUUGUUAGAUAUCUGACUGUAAUGAGAAGGAUCCUCUAACUAUUACAAAUUCUCAAGAAAGAACAUUCACAUCAUUAGAAACGUUCAUUUGUUCUGAAGCACAUUCGCUCAGCACCAGAAGAAGUUGUCACCUGGUCCCUCUAUGUAAAUCCUUAAUAAAAGAUUUUCAUCACCAUUAGAAAGCGAUUUGCAGAGUCACCAUCAGCCAGCGAUCAUUUCCCAUGUCUGUCCCAAAUCAAAAUGAGAAGGAUAAACGUCAGUGCAGUUUGGCUACAAAUCCACAAACACUGGGUUGUCCCUCCAUGCUUUUAUCUGUCAGUGUUUAUAAAUCCCCUAACUCCUGAAUUCACACUAGGGCUGUGCAUCCAGUAAUUGGCUCCAAUAAAUCCUAAGCGUUAAGUGUUUGUCCCAGUCUAAACAGCCUUUGUAGCUUCAGGAUUUUAC